CGGCCGCGUCGACGUUUGAUCCUGGCUCAGGAUGAACGCUGGCGGCGUGCUUAACACAUGCAAGUCGAACGGAAAGGCCCUGCUUGCAGGGUACUCGAGUGGCGAACGGGUGAGUAACACGUGGGUGAUCUGCCCUGUACUUUGGGAUAAGCCUGGGAAACUGGGUCUAAUACCGAAUAUGACCACUUCUUGGAUGGGGUGGUGGAAAGCUUUUGCGGUAUGGGAUGAGCUCGCGGCCUAUCAGCUUGUUGGUGGGGUAAUGGCCUACCAAGGCGUCGACGGGUAGCCGGCCUGAGAGGGUGUACGGCCACAUUGGGACUGAGAUACGGCCCAGACUCCUACGGGAGGCAGCAGCGGGGGAAUUUUCCG
rnacentral:rRNA from 1 species